GGCGCAAGCUUCCCCAUGAACGACCCCAACUUCAUCCCCAACCAACAAUACUCGGAGCCUCCUGGCCAGCCUGGUUACCCUGGACAGCCUUCUCCCGGGGCACAGCCUGCACCCGUGGGCUUCUACCCUGUCCCUACCGUGGACGAAUUCUCCACGCUUCCCCCCGCGGCGACGCCUUACGUCAUGCAAGGUGGGCUGUGCCUACAAUUUGGCGCACUGAUCAUAA
rnacentral:lncRNA from 1 species